rnacentral:lncRNA from 1 species
GUAAAAUUUGAUCAGAUCAACAUGAGCAGCAAUAGCAUUGAUUCAACGGCAGCGUCAGUGCCUCAGCGAAGAGAAAGCUUCAUUUCCAGGCCGGUUCAGAGAGUCCCACUACAUCAGCACAGGAGAAGGAUGUCAUGCUUCACAUGACUGCACUUACAAAAAUACAAAUUGAAUAGCUCUGAUUUUGACUUGUUUGGUAGUGAAAUGUUUGGAAAGAUGUUUGGGGUUUUACAUCCGUUUGAUAGUUUGUUUGCUAACUUCACAGAUAUGUGGUGUCUGUAAUUACUGGAGGGCCUUUCCUUUGCUGUUUAGGUUUGGAUUGGAAGGGCGGAAGGAUGUGAGGGAUAUGGUAAAUGCAACUGUAAUUGGAUUUAAUUUAACUAAUGUGUUUGAUUGCUCUGUGGAUUUGUACUUUGAAAAAUGAAAACGUACAAUAUCACUAAUUUAGUGUUCUGACAUUUUUUUUCGGUGUUGCGUGCAACAACAACAAAUAUUCAUAAACCAAAAUCACGCAUUUCACUGUUUAGAUUUAGAAGUAUAAUCAUGUAUAACUGCAUGCCGCUCCUAUAGGAAUCUAUGAUUUGGUACUUGUAUCAUGUCAUGAUCUAAAGCCUACUGUCAAGUGCAUGGGAGGUCAUCCCUGGAAAUUCUUUUCCAGGAUAUUACUGUAGCGCAUUUUAUAGUUUUGUUAGCUGAAAUAUGAAGUGAAGAACAUCUAUAAGCAGAUGAACUGAGGUACGAGCCAAAUUGUGAUUCCUCGACAAAAAAAAGGAAGAGGUAAGCAAGAAGCUUGAGUUUGAGAAAUGUGGUUACCAAAUGAUCUAUAAUUUGGAGCUUCCAGCCCAAAGCCCAGAAGCCAUCCUAACCCAGAAAUGUUUUCUUCAGAAGUUUAAAUCUGUUAAUGGAUAAAUAAAACAAACCUUAGCAACAUAUAUCUGGAAGAUUGACAAAAACAUUCGUGACAUGCAAACUGAAUCAACAGAAGUUUGUGCUCAAGCUUUAGAACUCAAAUAAUACAUGUAGCACAAUCACUUUCAGUAGCAAGAUUCACGAUUAUUCAGAUGAUGCAUUACCCCAUUGUCCGUCAGAGUACAGAGUCUAACUGACCUUAAUUUAGAUACUAACGCAGUUCCUAAGUAGCUAGUACUAGUCAGUGAUCAAACAAUAAAAAUACAGUCAAUGCAUGUCUGUUUUUCAAUCAAUUCACUCCUUGAUCACUCUUCAGUAACCACUGAACACCCAAGGCAGCUGAAUUUCAGGUCCCUGCACCCCACAAUCAGGUUCUGAAACUCUAUCCAUGGAACCACAGCCAGGACACUAGUGCAUUUCCUUCUAAAAGAAACAAAAAAAAGGCAGGUUUCAGUGGCCAAAGUGCCUCAUGAGCACUGAGGUGUUUGUUUGAAGGACUGAACCAUGAGAUACCUCCUUACUUGCAUUUCCUAGUUAAGAUUAACUAACUGAUUGGAGUAAAGGGCUUUUUAAUUGACGGAUUCUAGUGGCUGGCCCAGUGAGAGAAUUACCAGUGUCUGUCAUUAGACUUUAUCUUUCCACGGUGAACUCCUUUGUUGUCUAAAAUCGGCUGGAUGGAUUGACCUUUGGGAUUGAGUCACUCGUACAUUGAAUCUGAGUAUUUCGUAUAACUCUUACUUAACAGACUUAGUGGACUGAUUGAUUGUUUCUUAGUUAGGAUUUUCAAUUACUCCAUUAAUGAAAUUCCCCUCUGCACUAGCAGCUUUAAUAAGAAGUAGUAGAUGGGAGUAAGGGCUUGGCUGAAUAAUCUAAUUAACUGAAUUAUGCAGAAAUCUUGACCCUGAAAUAUUUUCUUCAGAAGUUAUUCAUGGAACCAUAGUCAGGGCACUUCUAAGCCAAAGCCGAGAAGCCCUCUUGCGCCUGAAAAUAUUUUCUUCAUAAGUUUAAAUACAACUAACUUAGCAACCCAUAUCUAGAAGACUGAGAGGAACGUUCAUAACAUGUAAACUGAUUUAACUGAGGUUUAUGCUUAAGUUUAAGAAUGGAAACUAUACAUGUGCAUUAAAAUUUAAAUUAAGUAAAGUAACCCAAAGAAACCACUUUCAAGAUUCAGGAUCAGGAUUAUUCAGAUGAUACAUUGUUCCUUCAUCCCGACUCCCAAUAUUGUGGUCAUAUUUCUUGCUAUUUCUGCAUCAUUCGAGAUUCUAAUAGAGGCUUUGAACACAGAUAGGAUUAUUUGAAGAACAUAUUUGUCAGAAUUGGAUGAAUUAUCCUAGGGCCUGAAUUUUGUGCUGAUGGCAGAAUUGAAUAAUCAAGCAUUCAAUUAUUUACUGAACAGCUAAGAAGAUGAUUUUCGGUGUUGUCUUGAAACUUGCUACACAUCAGUUGACCGCAAAAUUUUCAACGGCGUUAAUCUUUAUCUAGAAAUGCAAACCUUAGCGGUUAAGUUCCAAGAUAACUACUACUACUAAGAUGCAGUUUUAGAAUAUGCCAUCAAUAAUAAUAAUAAAAAGCACCCAUGUUGCUUCUCAAACAAGCUAAGCACAUCAGACAUAAUCCAACCGAAAGAGCACAAAGUCUAACCGACCAUAAACCAGAGACUACUGUAAUUCCAAAGCUGCUAGUACUAGAAAGUGACCACACAAGACAAGCACUGAGGCACAUUCGAUGCACGUCACAGAUUCACAGCUUUGCCAGUGUGUUAAUCACGGCAUAAUGACCGCCGGGGUCGGUGGAGCCCCCGGUGCUACCCUGCAAAUCCAGCACCAUGUGUCUGUUCUCUAAUCUUCCUCCACCCCUCAAUCACCACCAGACCUACACUAACAACUAAAUCGAAUCCCAAACUCCUCGGUCAGGUUUUUGAAACUCCAUCCAUGGAAUGGAACCCCACAACCAGGACACUAGUGCAUUUGCUGGAUUAAAAAAAGAAGCAGGCUUCAGGUGGCCAAAUUGCCUCGUGCGCACGAGGUGUUUGCUUGACGGACUGAACCAUGGGAUGGGAUCUAAUCUAAUUAACUGAAGCGUGAUGCGUGCGUCGUACCUCUCGGGGGCGGUGGAUGGGGGCUUCGGAAUGAGAUUCAGAUGAGAUGAUUCCAGGCUACGGGAAGCUUCCGCGCCCGCGCAGAAUCAGAUUCAAUCGAACCG